UACGUAGGGUGCAAGCGUUAAUCGGAAUUACUGGGCGUAAAGCGUGCGCAGGCGGUUUUGUAAGUCAGAUGUGAAAUCCCCGGACUUAACCUGGGAACUGCGUUUGAAACUACAAGGCUAGAGUGUGGCAGAGGGGGGUGGAAUUCCACGUGUAGCAGUGAAAUGCGUAGAGAUGUGGAGGAACACCGAUGGCGAAGGCAGCCCCCUGGGUUAACACUGACGCUCAGGCACGAAAGCGUGGGGAGCAAACAGG
rnacentral:rRNA from 1 species